rnacentral:lncRNA from 1 species
AAGUUGCUCGCUGCGUCGGUUAAAAUGGACGCCGGUUAAUCUAGCGACAGCAGCGUCGUCAAUAACAAAGAAUCUGAAGAAAGAAAAAGAAGGGAAAUUGGCAAAACUAACCAACAAAAAAACUUUAAUUCAAUAACUAACCUCUAACCCCCCUAUUCACUCUCUUUCUCUCCCUAUCUCUCUCUACCUUCUUUCUACAAAACUAAUUUUUCUUUUUUUUGGUUAUUCACCUAAAUCACCCGAGAAAGAAUUCUUUCACAUCAAAAAUUCAACGACAGAAAAAAAAAAAAAAAAAAAAAAAAAAAAAAAAGGAUGUGAGUGUAAUUUUCAGACGCUCAGAUCUCUCGCUAGCGAAAUACAAAAGCACAAGGCCUAAGUCACAUCACGAUUCCCAUUUCAUAUAUAGCAAUG